rnacentral:rRNA from 1 species
CACAUGCAAGUCGGACGGCAGCACGGGCUUCGGCCUGGUGGCGAGUGGCGAACGGGUGAGUAAUGUAUCGGAACGUGCCCAGUAGCGGGGGAUAACUACGCGAAAGCGUGGCUAAUACCGCAUACGCCCUACGGGGGAAAGCGGGGGACCUUCGGGCCUCGCACUAUUGGAGCGGCCGAUAUCGGAUUAGCUAGUUGGUGGGGUAACGGCCUACCAAGGCGACGAUCCGUAGCUGGUUUGAGAGGACGACCAGCCACACUGGGACUGAGACACGGCCCAGACUCCUACGGGAGGCAGCAGUGGGGAAUUUUGGACAAUGGGGGCAACCCUGAUCCAGCCAUCCCGCGUGUGCGAUGAAGGCCUUCGGGUUGUAAAGCACUUUUGGCAGGAAAGAAACGGCACGGGCUAAUAUCCUGUGCAACUGACGGUACCUGCAGAAUAAGCACCGGCUAACUACGUGCCAGCAGCCGCGGUAAUACGUAGGGUGCAAGCGUUAAUCGGAAUUACUGGGCGUAAAGCGUGCGCAGGCGGUUCGGAAAGAAAGAUGUGAAAUCCCAGGGCUUAACCUUGGAACUGCAUUUUUAACUACCGGGCUAGAGUGUGUCAGAGGGAGGUGGAAUUCCGCGUGUAGCAGUGAAAUGCGUAGAUAUGCGGAGGAACACCGAUGGCGAAGGCAGCCUCCUGGGAUAACACUGACGCUCAUGCACGAAAGCGUGGGGAGCAAACAGGAUUUAGAUACCCUGGUAGUCCACGCCCUAAACGAUGUCAACUAGCUGUUGGGGCCUUCGGGCCUUGGUAGCGCAGCUAACGCGUGAAGUUGACCGCCUGGGGAGUACGGUCGCAAGAUUAAAACUCAAAGGAAUUGACGGGGACCCGCACAAGCGGUGGAUGAUGUGGAUUAAUUCGAUGCAACGCGAAAAACCUUACCUACCCUUGACAUGUCUGGAAUCCCGAAGAGAUUUGGGAGUGCUCGCAAGAGAACCGGAACACAGGUGCUGCAUGGCUGUCGUCAGCUCGUGUCGUGAGAUGUUGGGUUAAGUCCCGCAACGAGCGCAACCCUUGUCAUUAGUUGCUACGAAAGGGCACUCUAAUGAGACUGCCGGUGACAAACCGGAGGAAGGUGGGGAUGACGUCAAGUCCUCAUGGCCCUUAUGGGUAGGGCUUCACACGUCAUACAAUGGUCGGGACAGAGGGUCGCCAACCCGCGAGGGGGAGCCAAUCCCAGAAACCCGAUCGUAGUCCGGAUCGCAGUCUGCAACUCGACUGCGUGAAGUCGGAAUCGCUAGUAAUCGCGGAUCAGCAUGUCGCGGUGAAUACGUUCCCGGGUCUUGUACACACCGCCCGUCACACCAUGGGAGUGGGUUUUACCAGAAGUAGUUAGCCUAACCGCAAGGGGGGCGAUACCACGGUAGAU